GGGCCUGUAGCUCAGUUGGUAGAGCACCGCGUUUACACCGCGGUUGUCGUCGGUUCGAGCCCGGCCGGGCCCAC
rnacentral:tRNA from 1 species